UACGUAGGGGGCGAGCGUUGUCCGGAAUCAUUGGGCGUAAAGCGCGUGUAGGCGGCCCGGUAAGUCCGCUGUGAAAGUCCAGGGCUCAACCCUGGGAUGCCGGUGGAUACUGUCGGGCUCGAGUCCGGAAGAGGCGGGUGGAAUUCCUGGUGUAGCGGUGAAAUGCGCAGAUAUCAGGAGGAACACCAAUGGCGAAGGCAGCUCGCUGGGACGUGACUGACGCUGAGACGCGAAAGCGUGGGGAGCAAACAGG
rnacentral:rRNA from 1 species